rnacentral:snRNA from 1 species
CGCAAAUUUACAUUUUUC